GUUUUUUUGUGUGGUUUCUUUCUUUCGGUUUAGGUGUUUUUGGGGUUUUGUUUUGGUUUUUUGUUGUUGUUAGUUUGUUUUUUGUUUUGUUUUUUAAUUCCGUGUCUUUUGAUUCCUCCACAGGAAAAUGCCUCCCAUAUCUCCAAACUCCCUGAAGAAUUUCAAUUUCCAGCGUAAAUACCCACCUGAGUGUGCUUUGAUUCAAUUCUCUCCUUUAUUUCCUCUCUAAAAGUCCCAUCAAAACCACUGCAUCUCCUCUCACUCUCCUGAGGGUUUUUUUUAGGGUUUCUUUAAAGUGUUUUGUAAAGUAGGUUCUUCAUUAAUCUGUUUGUCUUAAGCUGCUUAAAAAUACUCAUUGGCUGUAUUGGAAGCCGAGGGCUUAGAAAAAAAAAGUGUAGGAUUUGUGGAGGAUUGAGUUGAAUUUCUCAACUGUCUGGAACUGGCAUUAGUGCUCAGCAUUCUAAGAAGGGUGAUAUUCCUGCUUUUCCUGGUACUCACCAGCCCAAUUUUGGGUUCAUGAAGCAAAGUAAUGUGGGGUUUUUUCCAUUUUGUGAUUUUACUGCCUUCUGCUGGUCAGAGAUGAUCAGGCUGAAUUUAAUUUUUUAUAAUCAGCACAUGAUCUAAAAUUUAGCUGCAGUGCAAAUGCCAGCAAUAGAUGCUUUGUGUAUUUCUUGGUGUUUUGUUUUUUUUUUUUUCUGCAGCCUCAUGGAUAUAUUUCACAUAGGAGGGUUGAUCAUUAAAGAGGAUUGUAGGUUUUAAUGUGCAGACUGCAUCUUGUUCCAGAAGCCUGCUGUUGGCUUGAAGUGGGGAUGUAGCAGAUCACCUUUCUAAUCCUACCCUGCCUUUCAGCUCCCUGCUUGCCCUUUGCUCCCAAGAAAAAGAAAGAUUUAAAAAUAAAAACCUUGUUGCUGUUUGCAUAAACUCAUGAAACUGUGGCCCCACGACAGUGCAGUUAAAAGAGGCCUGCUGCCUCCAGAAUUUCAUGAUCUGUUUUAGGAAUUAUAGUUGUUUAAAUUUUUAUCUUUGCUUUUAUUCCCUGAGACAGAGAUGGAUGUGCUUGUCUGUCUCUGUAGGGGCUGGAAGGUGGAGAGCUGAGGAGCUGACAGGGCUUGGCAGCCUAAAUGUUGUACAAAGAAUUAUCUACCUGCUCAAAGGAAAUGGUUGUUUCCCUUCCUGCACCUUCCUGCUCUCAAAUUUAAUAACCAUACCCUGAACUGAUAGGUCACACAAGGUGCCACCUGGAUAUACACUGUAAAUCCCCUGGGCAGGCAGGUUAUGAGAGGGAAGAUACUUAUUUUCUGCUUUUUUUCCAACACAAAACAAAGCUUUGAUUGCCAAAUAAUCACUCAGGCAACUGUAAAUAAUUGUGUUUAAAAGAGAGAGUUUUUUCCUCAUCCACCAGUUCCUAUUUCUGUAGCAAAUGUUUGCAGAGGGAGUGGGAGAGAGCUGAGCCCAACAAACUUACAAAAGAUGUCACAGAGUUCAUACUUUCAGCAUUUUAAUGGCAUAAAACCAUCUCUGAGCUCCAUUUGAAUGUUGUAAGGAAAUUUCUAAAAUCUGUGUUCCUGGAAAAUAUAAUUUAUCUCUGCUACUUCAUUUUUUUUAUUUAUAGGUGAACAAGGUGGGUAACACCAAGUGGCAAUGGCAAGAUUAAAAAUUAGAGGAGAUAGUCUGAUUUAUGGAGAUACACAAUAUUUAUCCUCCAGCCACUGCAGAAUGGAUUAGGGUAAGGAAGAGGAAGCUUCAGUAGCAUACUUGGAAGAGUCUGUGCCCAGGCUACCCUUAAUGUAAGAUCCUAGUUAUGCAAGAGGAAAUAAAACACAUUAAUGCCAAUUACAGAGUGUUGGACUGGGAAAGGCUGGGAGCUGUGCUUGGGGUAGAAACAAACAACAGAAAUGAUAAACAUGAGCAGGAAUUAAUGGAAGCUCAGUUGGGAAGACUUUGAGUUCUUCUCCGGGAAGAUUUGAUUUCUUGAACCCACCUUUUGAAGUGAAGAAAAAAGAAAUCUGCCAGGAAACAGUAAAGCAGAAGUGAAGCUGCCAUCAAAUACCACCGUGUGAAGAAAGCUCUGGAAAGGCUGGUACAGUUCUGUGGGUCUGUGAAGGAAGGAACAGGGAUGUGAGGGAUGAACUGGAGGCUGCAGGAAUUUAAAUCUCCUGGUUUCUCAUCAAUCCAGCAGAAUUUGGGUACUGUGCAGACUGAGAACAGCAGCGUGUUCUCUCUUGCCAGAGCUGUCCAGAGGAGAUCACAUCUGUGCACUUCAUGUCACACACGUGUAGCUCCUUCUAUUGGAACAUUUGCCAAGAGAGGCAGAGAUUUGGCCCUUGCCGAGCGCUCCUCGUUGCCCGCAGCUGCCAGGAGGUGGCUCUCUGCAUUUGCAGUCCCUGUUUACUACUUUGUUUAUGGAAUUACGCUGGACACGCUUUCCGUGGAAAAUGUUUUCCCUGCGUCUGCCCUGAGGAAGUUUACGUCAGAAGAACAAGGAAACCGUGGGCUCAGUAAAUAAUCUGCUAACAGGCAAGGCAAGGAUCAGUUCACUUUUGUCCAAAUGUUUUCUGGCUGUGAUCCAAAGGGAUUUUUCCUGUGCAGCACCUAAUCUUAUAAGAUUAUUUCUAGCAGGCUCAAGGAGUUAUAUCUGUGUUGGUAGGGUGCACUUACCAAAUUUGAUUAUACCCCAGUAAAAGUCAUUCUCAAUUAGAGAAAAACCCCACAUUUUAGUCACAUGUUUUGAAGGGUGCAGGUGGAUCAUGGACAGGUACCCUGGUGAAUGGAUUAAGAUGCUGCUUCAUUCUCCCCCUUUCAGUGUGAGAAGAGAGAGUUCUGUAUCCAGGCCAUGGACUCCUUUUUGGAGGCACUGAUGUUUCCCCAAAGCUGAUGUGUUCUGUUGGAAUCCAGUGUGGAACAAGCCAGGUUCCUUCUUUGCUUCCUAAAACGUGGUGAGAAAUUACAGUGUAUUAAAGAGGAGUAACUAUUCAGUAUCCUUGUAAUGCUGGUAAAGUUCCAGGUAUUAAUUUGGUUACUAGGAAUAUGUAGCCUCUAUUCAAGCAUUAAUUUAAAUUAACUUAGGCUGUCUGGAGGUAUUAAUUGCAUGUACACAGCCCUUCCACUCUUGAUUUGUCUUCACCCUCAGUCUGAGAUAUCAGACACCCUUGAGGACAAUACAUGGGCACAAAAAACUUUGUGCAAAACAAACAGUUUAACAUUACAAGUACAUCUUGAAUCACAUACAAUUUCCCUCUAUUUUGGAAGAAAAUGGUUCCAUCUUCUUUUUUCAGGAAAACUUGCCAACUACAGUUGUUUCUAAAUCAGAGGGAUCUGCUAGUUCCUAAAGAAGUAUUUUUAUUGCAGACUGUAAUUCCCAUUAAUUCCAUUAAUGUAACAGGUUUCUCUGGUGGUCACAUCCUCCUCUUUGCAAAGCUUGGGUUUGUGUCUUCAGACUAAGCAUUUUCUUCCGUUAAUUCACUUCUAAGAGGACAAAACAAGAGGCAGAAGAACUGUGACUGUGCCUGUAAGAGGCAACACUCACCUUAGUACCCAAAAUAUCACCUUCAAACCACCACAUCAAUCCCCUCCAUGUCAUUACCAUGAAUUCUUGUAUUUGACAUUAUUGAAUUUAUAAUGGUCAAAGACUGAAAUUUUUUUUCCCUUCUUAUUCCUUCACUUUUCCCUUGACUUCUCUUGGUUAAUGCUGCAGUCACUGCAAAAGUUAGGGUCAAUCUACAGAAGCUCUUGGAGUUUUUGCAAGGUCACAUGUACAUUUCUGCCAAUGUUAGUGAUCUUUUACUGUUUGAACUCACAGACUUUGUAGACUUUUGCUGGUCACUAUCUGAAAAGUAAUGAGAAAUCUGUAUUUUUCUGAAAUUUACUGGGUGUUGACUAUUAAUUGAGGGGUUUUGCUUGUAUUUAACCCAUCUGUAUGGAGAAAACCUAUUUCUCUGCAAAGCAAUGCCAUCCUGAUGUGAGAACAUAAAAUAUCUGUAUUUGA